AUAAAUUACGCAAAUCCCCAAGUAUUAGGGCCAUUAAUAAAUAAAAUCCCAUACCUUUUAAAAAAUUAUAGAAAAUCUCAGAAAUUGAAAAUUGCUCUUGAUACAUAUUUAAUGCAGGCUACUCAACCAUUGUAGCUCAAAAUUACGGGAUUUCAUCUUUUAAAAUCUUCUCCCAAAAAAUUUCAGUAAUCUCUCUCCCACAAUUGUAUUUUUUCCCAAUACAAAUCAUUUCUCAACACCAUUAAUGAAGACCUAGUUGAAUUGAACCUCACUUCACUGUUAAACUCCGUCCAUUGACACCAUACACAAACCUUAAAUUUGUGGGAGAGAAUUGAAUUUCACCUUACUCUCACUUCGCCAUUGAUUUCCUCCACUGAUUAUUGCACAGAUCUAUGACCCUCGUCGAAUAAUCAACAAUUUUAACCGCCAUACUCAAUGUAAACACAACAACCCGUCAACUACCCUUCACCAUUAAUCCAUCAAUCUUUAAUCGAUUUUGAUUUUUUUUUUAAUCCUUUAGGCCAAUAAAUAUUAAGAGAAAAAGGAGAAAUUGAACAAUGUUGCUAGAUUUUCGAUUAGAAUGGCAAAGACGGUGGUGGUGGUGGUAGAGGAGGAAUUAUUGAUGUAUUUGGUUGCUUUUAAAUGAAGAUUGAGAGAGUUAAUGGGUAGUGUUGAAGAUGGGAAAGAAGAUCAAUGCAUUAAAAUAAAGUUCAUGAUACAUAUAUAUGUAUCAUUAUGAAUAUGUAUCAUAGUAAAAAGAAUAUAUUUUUUAUUCAUGAUACAUAUGAAUGUACUUGCAUGCUAAUAUAUCAUAGUCUACUUAAUUCAUAUGUAAUAUGGAGCUUAGUAUUUGUUAAUAAAACAUGCUAAUGUAUCUCCGUGCAUGUGUAUCGUAGUAAAAAGAAUGUAAUUUUUGUUCAUGAUAAUAUGAAUGUACUUGCAUGUCAAUGUAACAUAGUCUACUAGCUCCUUGAAUGAUAUGUAGAUCAAUGAAUGAUAUGUAACAUUUUCUUUCAUGGCAUAUGAAAAAUCUUGUAUAUGAAUAACAAUGUUGCUAUAAUAUAUUAGGUAAUGAUACAUAUUUCAGAAGCAUAACUCUUUUCCACAAGUCAAUGAUACAUAUGUACUAAGUAAAAUCAUUUGAUAUAAUAUUAA
rnacentral:lncRNA from 1 species